UCGCGGGGCUGCGAUCGAGGCGGGGAGGGUAUGAAUCGGCAUUGAUUCACUUGUGCAUAAGUAUCGGUAGCGUGUAUUUGACAUUAUAUUAACUAAUUGAUUUACAAUUGCUAAUGCAGGUACUUCAACCGCUCCGAGUCAGAGCUCAUGCCCCCCCAGUGUUCGACGAUAGGUACAUCCCGUACCUAAGGGCUGCCGGGUUGCUCGGGGUGGCCUUGGUCGUGAGCAGAGGAAUGCCAGUGUUCAACGCUCCUACGUUGACAGCACUUGUGGACAGAUGGAGGCCUGAGACACACAGCUUCCACCUCCCCAGUGGUGAGAUGACCAUCACUCUACAGGAUGUGGCUAUGAUCUUGGCCCUCCCAUUACGGGGGCAUGCCGUGACGGGCAGGACAGAGACUCCUGGAUGGCAUGCACAAGUGCAGCAGCUGUUUGGCAUUCCACUGAACAUUGAGCAGGGGCAAGGGGGGAAGAAGAAGUAGAAUGGAAUACCCCUGUCUUGGCUGAGUCAGAACUUCUCACAUCUUGACGACGAUGCUGAGCCAUGGCGUGUUGAGUGUUAUGCCCGUGCAUACAUCUUGCACUUGUUGGGAGGGGUUCUGUUUCCUGAUGCUGGGGGUGACAUUGCUUCGGCGAUAUGGAUUCCUUUGGUCGCCAACCUUGGUGAUCUGGGCCGUUUCAGUUGGGGGUCAGCAGUGUUAGCGUGGACAUAUAGACAGCUCUAUGAGGCCUGUUGUCGUCAGGCACCAUCAUCCAACAUGAGUGGUUGUGUGCUAUUGAUUCAGAUGUGGAUGUGGUUAAGACUACCGGUUGGAAGGCCUAAGUGGAGGCAUAGCUUCACUCCUUGGCCCUACAAUGAGCCAGACAUGGAGAAGACAGUGGCCUACCUUUUUGAGAGUACUGCCACUGCACAUGCUCGGGAUGUGGCAUACAAGCAUUAUGUCAAUGAGAUGGACUGCUUGCAGCCUCAACAUAUUGAGUGGUUACCAUACCACACAAAUGAGGCUUCAAGCCUGACCCUGAACUCGAUGUGCAAUCGAGACUCUGACUAUUUCAUGUACCAGUGCCCAUUGAUUUGUUUCUGGGCAGUUGAGUACCACCUUCCGCACCGUGUCAUGUGACAGUUCGGGAAGAAACAAGAUUGGCCGGUUGAGGACAUCUCAACUGGAGUUGAAUUACACAAGUAUGACAGGGUGAGAACAAAGAAGGUGAAAGACUGGAGGCUAGAGCAUAAUAGAUACAUUGAUGAAUGGAGAACAGCCGGAAGGACCGAUAGGUACAUCGAGACUAUACACCAAAAUCAUCUUUUCUCAGAGUACCUUCGUUGGCUGCAUAGGACAUAUAAACUGUUCCUCCGCCCUACUUGGACGGAAGCCGACAUAGAGGAUGACCGCGACUCCGAUGAGGGGCGGAAUCCCUAUGAUGUCCGGACUAGAGUUGGAUAUCAAAUGGAGCACGCCCCACUUAGAGACAGAGUCUCGAGAGAGCUCCUCAGGAGUGUGAAUGAAAUGGGGCAUG